rnacentral:lncRNA from 1 species
CCUGGCACGCCGAGCUCCGCCCAGGAGCCGCGAUUCGGGGUGCUGGCAGUGGCAGAGGAGCGAGGAGCGGCGGAUGCGACGCCGCAGUGCGCUGCUGGAGGACGGCGUCUUGCAGGCCGGGCCCUCCGCGCAGCGCUCCCGGGGCAGGGGCUCAGGUUCCAUCACCACGCAGCCCCCAGACUCACAGGGGACUCCCGGAGAAGAGUGACACCACACACCCCUUGUUGCUGAGCUACCCAGAGUCGGUCACCUAUCCCCAACCUGCGCAAGUCGAAAAUGGGCAGAAAGAACCCAGGAUUUUCCAGAAUGAAAUCCGCGGCAGCGAGCCGCCCCCCGGAGUACGCAGCGCCAGGGGUGAACCGAACGUGCUCUGCGACGCCACUUCCCCCAUGACGUGCCUGGGCGCCCAUCUCCUCGCUUACCCUCCACGCAGUAAAGCAGGUCAUCUUGUCACAGGAAACCCCCGGCAAGGGGAGCAGUGAUUGCGGUUCCCCCCGCCCCCCAUCCUGGGGCUCGAACCCACGGCCUCACUAAUGCUAGGGAAGGGCUUUACCACCGAGCUACACCCCCAGCUCAGGGAUGCAGAUAGGAUGAUGCUAGCUCUUCACAGUGGCACAUUGAC